CGCCCGUUAGCUCAGUUGGUUGGGUAAGUCGUGCUAAUAACGCGAAGGUCGUGGGUUCGAUCCCCUCACGGGCAG